GAUGAACGCUGGCGGCGCGCCUAAUACAUGCAAGUCGAGCGAACAGAUGAGGAGCUUGCUCCUCUGACGUUAGCGGCGGACGGGUGAGUAACACGUGGAUAACCUACCUAUAAGACUGGGAUAACUUCGGGAAACCGGAGCUAAUACCGGAUAAUAUAUUGAACCGCAUGGUUCAAUAGUGAAAGACGGUUUUGCUGUCACUUAUGGAUGGAUCCGCGCCGCAUUAGCUAGUUGGUAAGGUAACGGCUUACCAAGGCAACGAUGCGUAGCCGACCUGAGAGGGUGAUCGGCCACACUGGAACUGAGACACGGUCCAGACUCCUACGGGAGGCAGCAGUAGGGAAUCUUCCGCAAUGGGCGAAAGCCUGACGGAGCAACGCCGCGUGAGUGAUGAAGGUCUUCGGAUCGUAAAACUCUGUUAUUAGGGAAGAACAAAUGUGUAAGUAACUAUGCACGUCUUGACGGUACCUAAUCAGAAAGCCACGGCUAACUACGUG
rnacentral:rRNA from 1 species